rnacentral:rRNA from 1 species
CCUGGGUAGUAUAUAGUUAUUUUCUCGAAACCCAAAGAGUUUGGCGGUAUCUCAGUCUAGUUAGAGGAGCUUGUUCGGUAAUCGAUAAUCCGCGAAAUAUCUUACGCACUUUUGUAGUCAGUUAAUAUACCGUCGUUAUUAGAUAAUAUUAAAAAGUAAAUAAUUAUCUAAAUAUAUUAAAAUAUAAUAUAUCAGAUCAAGGUGUUGCUUAUAAGUGUGUUUGAAUGAGCUACAAUUUUAUAAAAAAAAACGGAUUUUAUUUUUAAAUAAAUAAAUAAAGGUGGAUUUAAUA